GAUGAACGCUGGCGGCGUGCUUAACACAUGCAAGUCGAACGGAAAGGCCCAAGCUUGCUUGGGUACUCGAGUGGCGAACGGGUGAGUAACACGUGGGUGAUCUGCCCUGCACUUCGGGAUAAGCCUGGGAAACUGGUUCUAAUACCGGAUAGGACCACAUUUUGGAUGGUGUGGUGGAAAGUUUUUCGGUGUGGGAUGAGCUCGCGGCCUAUCAGCUUGUUGGUGGGGUAAUGGCCUACCAAGGCGUCGACGGGUAGCCGGCCUGAGAGGGUGUACGGCCACAUUGGGACUGAGAUACGGCCCAGACUCCUACGGGAGGCAGCAGUGGGGAAUAUUGCACAAUGGGCGCAAGCCUGAUGCAGCGACGCCGCGUGGGGGAUGACGGCCUUCGGGUUGUAAACUCCUUUCGCUAGGGACGAAGCGUUAUGUGACGGUACCUGGAGAAGAAGCACCGGCUAACUACGUG
rnacentral:rRNA from 1 species